AUUGAACGCUGGCGGCAUGCCUUACACAUGCAAGUCGAACGGUAACAGGUCUUCGGAUGCUGACGAGUGGCGAACGGGUGAGUAAUACAUCGGAACGUGCCCGAUCGUGGGGGAUAACGAGGCGAAAGCUUUGCUAAUACCGCAUACGAUCUACGGAUGAAAGCGGGGGAUCUUCGGACCUCGCGCGGACGGAGCAGCCGAUGGCAGAUUAGGUAGUUGGUGGGAUAAAAGCUUACCAAGCCGACGAUCUGUAGCUGGUCUGAGAGGAUGAUCAGCCACACUGGGACUGAGACACGGCCCAGACUCCUACGGGAGGCAGCAGUGGGGAAUUUUGGACAAUGGGCGAAAGCCUGAUCCAGCCAUGCCGCGUGCAGGAUGAAGGCCUUCGGGUUGUAAACUGCUUUUGUACGGAACGAAAAGCCUCUUUCUAAUAAAGAGGGGUCAUGACGGUACCGUAAGAAUAAGCACCGGCUAACUACGUG
rnacentral:rRNA from 1 species